rnacentral:tRNA from 1 species
GGGGCCGUAGCUCAGCUGGGAGAGCGCUGCGUUCGCAAUGCAGAGGUCGUGGGUUCGAAUCCCAUCGGCUCCA